rnacentral:rRNA from 1 species
UACGUAGGUGGCAAGCGUUGUCCGGAUUUACUGGGCGUAAAGAGCGCGCAGGCGGUCGGCCAAGUCGAGUGUGAAAGCCCCCGGCUCAACUGGGGAGGGUCAUUCGAUACUGGUCGACUCGAAGGCAGGAGAGGGAAGCGGAAUUCCCGGUGUAGUGGUGAAAUGCGUAGAUAUCGGGAGGAACACCAGUGGCGAAGGCGGUUCUCUGGGCAUUACCUGACGCUGAGGAGCGAAAGUGUGGGGAGCGAACAGG